rnacentral:rRNA from 1 species
UUGGCGACCGGCGCACGGGUGAGUAACGCGUAUGCAACUUACCUAUCAGAGGGGGAUAGCCCGGCGAAAGUCGGAUUAAUACCCCAUGAAACAGGGGUCCCGCAUGGGAAUAUUUGUUAAAGAUUCAUCGCUGAUAGAUAGGCAUGCGUUCCAUUAGGCAGUUGGCGGGGUAACGGCCCACCAAACCGACGAUGGAUAGGGGUUCUGAGAGGAAGGUCCCCCACAUUGGUACUGAGACACGGACCAA